rnacentral:lncRNA from 1 species
UGUUAGGUUGAGCUAGAAUUAUUCUGAUCCAUUGAAAAGAGUUUCGAUGAUAUUAUGAUAGAGAUAAUGGUAUGUCUCACUACCAGAUAGAAUAGAAUCUAAAAGAUCACAUAUAAAAAGAGUUUGACCCGAUCAAUGACUUGGAUAAAAUUUGAAUUAUCCAUUUGAUUGAUAAUUUAAAUUUGAAAACUGCUAAUUUGUAAGUGUUACAGAUUCAGUAACUGUUAAUUGUUAGCACUGAAACU